GACGUAGGAGGCGAGCGUUGUCCGGAAUUAUUGGGCGUAAAGCGCUUGUAGGCGGCACGUCAAGUCGCGUGUGAAAUCCCCAGGCUUAACCUGGGAAGUGCGCGCGAAACUGACGAGCUUGAGUGCCGGAGAGGGUCGCGGAAUUCCCGGUGUAGAGGUGAAAUUCGUAGAUAUCGGGAGGAACACCAGUGGCGAAGGCGGCGACCUGGACGGACACUGACGCUGAGACGCGAAAGCGUGGGGAGCAAACAGG
rnacentral:rRNA from 1 species